rnacentral:rRNA from 1 species
UACAGAGGGGGCAAGCGUUGUUCGGAAUUACUGGGCGUAAAGGGCGCGUAGGCGGCCCGCUAAGUCGAACGUGAAAUCCCCGAGCUCAACUCGGGAACUGCGUCCGAUACUGGCGGGCUUGAAUCCGGGAGAGGGAUGCGGAAUUCCAGGUGUAGCGGUGAAAUGCGUAGAUAUCUGGAGGAACACCGGUGGCGAAGGCGGCAUCCUGGACCGGCAUUGACGCUGAGGCGCGAAAGCUGGGGGAGCAAACAGG